rnacentral:rRNA from 1 species
UNNUGGGCGAAAGCCUGAAGGAGCGACNNNCGCGUGGGGGAUGAAUGGCUUCGGCCCGUCNACCCCUGUCAUUUGCGAACAAAUUAUUUUACCUAACACGUAAAGUAUUGAUAGUAGCGGAAGAGGAAGGGACGGCUAACUCUGUGCCAGCAGCCGCGGUAAUACAGAGGUCCCAAGCGUUGUUCGGAUUCACUGGGCGUAAAGGGUGCGUAGGCGGUCGGGUAAGUCUGAUGUGAAAUCCCGCAGCUUAACUGCGGAACGGCAUUGGAUACUAUCCGGCUCGAGGAGUGGAGGGGAGACUGGAAUUCUCGGUGUAGCAGUGAAAUGCGUAGAUAUCGAGAGGAACACCUGUGGCGAAGGCGAGUCUCUGGACACUUCCUGACGCUGAGGCACGAAAGCCAGGGGAGCAAACGGGAUUAGAUACCCCGGUAGUCCUGGCCCUAAACGGUGCGCAUUUGCUGUGAGCGGAAUCGACCCCGCUCGUGGCGAAGCUAACGCGUUAAAUGCGCCGCCUGGGAAGUACGGCCGCAAGGUUAAAACUCAAAAAAAUUGACGGA